rnacentral:rRNA from 1 species
UAAUACCGCAUACGCUCUACGGAGGAAAGGGGGGGAUCUUAGGACCUCCCGCUACAGGGGCGGCCGAUGGCAGAUUAGCUAGUUGGUGGGGUAAAGGCCUACCAAGGCGACGAUCUGUAGCUGGUCUGAGAGGACGACCAGCCACACUGGGACUGAGACACGGCCCAGACUCCUACGGGAGGCAGCAGUGGGGAAUUUUGGACAAUGGGCGAAAGCCUGAUCCAGCAAUGCCGCGUGUGUGAAGAAGGCCUUCGGGUUGUAANGCACUUUUGUCCGGAAAGAAAACCUCCGCCCUAAUAUGGUGGGGGGAUGACGGUACCGGAAGAAUAAGCACCGGCUAACUACGUGCCAGCAGCCGCGGUAAUACGUAGGGUGCAAGCGUUAAUCGGAAUUACUGGGCGUAAAGCGUGCGCAGGCGGUCCGCUAAGACAGAUGUGAAAUCCCCGGGCUUAACCUGGGAACUGCAUUUGUGACUG